rnacentral:rRNA from 1 species
GACGAACGCUGGCGGCAUGCUUAACACAUGCAAGUCUACUUGAACUUCGGUUUGGGUGGCGGACGGGUGAGUAACGCGUAAAGAACUUGCCUCACAGUUAGGGACAACAUUUGGAAACGAAUGCUAAUACCUGAUAUUAUGAUUUUAGGGCAUCCUAAGAUUAUGAAAGUUAUAUGCGCUGUGAGAGAGCUUUGCGUCCCAUUAGCUAGUUGGAGAGGUAACGGCUCACCAAGGCGAUGAUGGGUAGCCGGCCUGAGAGGGUGAACGGCCACAAGGGGACUGAGACACGGCCCUUACUCCUACGGGAGGCAGCAGUGGGGAAUAUUGGACAAUGGACCAAAAGUCUGAUCCAGCAAUUCCUGUGUGCACGAUGACGUUUUUCGGAAUGUAAAGUGCUUUC